UGUUUAUUAUGUCCAAGCGCCAUGCAGUGAGCAGUUGUCUUGAAACAGACACCUAGCAGAAUAAGAUAAGAUUGUAGCACUUGGCACGCCCUCCCCCCGUACCGCCGGCAAAAAACUGGGGGGCGGUGGGAGCGAAUUAGAAUAUCUUCCUCCUCCUCCUUUCCCCACCUCCGUUUCAUUUUUAUAUUUACAAGCCCACGUUCAUGUCUGAGCGAUUGCUCGGAUUCAUUGUUACUGAGCGGAAGGAUAUGUAUUGAAUCGCUCCGGGAGUGAGAGAGACGAGAAGCAGAGAGAGAGAGAGAGAGAGAGAGAGAGAGAAAGAGAAAUAGUCAUAGAGAGAGAGAGAAGGGGAACAAUUUAACAUGGCGAGCGACUCCCCGGCGCGUAGCCUGGAUGAGAUUGAUCUUUCGGCUUUGAGGGAUCCGGCUGGUAUCUUCGAACUGGUCGAAUUGGUUGGUAAUGGUACUUAUGGGCAGGUGUACAAGGGUCGCCAUGUCAAAACGGGUCAGCUGGCUGCAAUCAAGGUCAUGGACGUCACUGGGGAUGAAGAAGAGGAGAUCAAACAGGAGAUAAAUAUGCUAAAAAAGUAUUCUCACCAUCGAAACAUCGCCACGUACUAUGGCGCCUUCAUUAAGAAGAACCCUCCAGGCGUGGACGACCAGCUAUGGCUGGUGAUGGAGUUCUGUGGCGCUGGCUCGGUAACAGACCUGAUCAAAAACACCAAGGGAAACACGCUGAAGGAGGAGUGGAUCGCCUACAUUUGCCGCGAGAUUUUACGAGGCCUGACUCACCUUCACCAGCACAAGGUUAUCCACCGUGACAUCAAGGGCCAGAACGUCCUGCUGACGGAGAAUGCCGAAGUGAAGCUGGUUGACUUCGGAGUGAGCGCGCAACUGGACCGCACGGUGGGGAGGAGGAACACUUUCAUCGGGACGCCGUACUGGAUGGCGCCGGAGGUGAUCGCGUGUGAUGAGAACCCAGACGCCACUUACGACUUCAAGAGUGACCUGUGGUCUCUGGGGAUCACUGCGAUGGAGAUGGCAGAAGGGGCCCCACCUCUGUGUGACAUGCACCCGAUGAGAGCACUGUUCCUCAUCCCCCGGAACCCACCACCACGCCUAAAGUCCAAGAAGUGGUCCAAGAAGUUUGUGUCUUUCAUCGAGGGGUGCCUGGUGAAGAAUCACAGCCAGCGGCCUGCCACUGAGCAGCUGCUGAAACACCCCUUCAUCCGGGACCAGCCCAACGAGAGGCAGGUCCGCAUCCAGCUCAAAGAUCAUAUCGAUCGGACCAAGAAGCGGAGGGGUGAGAAAGACGAGACGGAGUACGAGUACAGCGGGAGUGAAGAGGAGGAGGAUGAAGGAGAUGUUGGGGAGCCCAGCUCGAUUGUGAACCUGCCCGGUGAAUCGACCCUGCGGCGAGACUUUCUCCGUCUGCAGCUGGCCAACAAGGAACGGUCAGAGGCCCUGCGCCGGCAGCAGCAGCAGGAACAGCAGCGGGAGAACGAGGAGCACAAACGGCAGCUGCUGGCCGAGAGACAGAAACGCAUCGAGGAGCAGAGGGAGCAGCGGCGGCGGCUGGAGGAGCAACAACGGAGAGAGCGGGAGUUCCGGAAGCAGCAGGAGCGUGAGCAGAGACGCCGCUACGAGGAGAUGGAGAGGCUGCAGAGGGAGGAGGAGAGGCGUAAGGCUGAGAGGGAGCAGGAGUACAAGCGAAAGCAGCUGGAGGAGCAGCGCCAGGCAGAACGACUGCAGAGACAACUGCAGCAGGAGCGGGCCUACCUGGUGUCUCUGCAGCAGCAACAGCUGGACUCCCGGACCGGAGAGAAGAAACAGCUGUACCACUACAAGGACAGCCUCAAUGUCAACGAUAAGCCGGCCUGGGCCAAGGAGGUGGAGGAACGUUCCAAGGGGAACCGCCAGGGCUCGCCCGCCAUGUCGCACAAGAUGGGGAACCGGAUGUCCGACCCCAGCAUGCCUCCCCGAUCUGAGUCCUUCAGCAGUGGCGGCAUUCAGUCGGUGCGGAUCCCUCCUGUGCACGAAGCCGUUGAGUCUCAGGUCCAGGUGGCUCACCUGAUCCCCGUGAAGCCCCACGGCACGACCAUGACUGGCUCCCAGUCUCUCCACGAGCAGCCCACCAAGGGGAUGUCCAGCGCCUUCCACUCGCAAGAGGGGCUCAAGUCACACCGCGCCGAAAUGCCGCGGCAGAACUCGGAUCCGACCUCGGAAACGCCGCCCCUGCCUCCCCGGCUCGGCUCCAGGGAGGAGAAGUACCUGGGUGGCUGGCUGAAGCAGGACGAUGACACGCCCCCCAAGGUCCCUCAGAGGACAACGUCCAUCUCACCAGCGCCUGGUCGCAAGAAUUCUCCAGGAAAUGGCGGCGGAUUGGCCAAUCGGCCUGGCACUCAGCCAAUAAGAGCAAGUAACCCUGACCUGCGGAAGACAGAGAUUGCCCUGGACGCCCCUCUGCACCGGACCAGCAGUGGCAGCUCCUCGAGCUCCAGCACUCCCAGCUCCCAGAGUGGCUCCCAGCCUGGCUCCAACGAACGCAACCAGGUCCCAGGGACCGGCAAGGCUGAAGGAUCCCCCCUUCCAUCCCUCGAGGGCUCACGGAGGCCAGAAGAGGGCCGGGAGCUAACGAGGCCUGGGAGACCGGCGGACCUGACAGCUUUGGCCAAAGAGUUGCGGGAGCUUCGCAAUGAGGAGACCAGCCGUCCCCCCAUCAAAGUCACCGACUACUCCUCGUCCAGCGAAGAGUCAGAGAGCAGCGAUGAGGAGGAGGAGGAAGAGGAGGAGGAAGAUGGAGAAAAUGAGGCACAGGAUGGGACUGUUCCAGUCAGUGACAUCCCCAGAAUAAUGCCCACCUCUGCAUCCAGCGGCACUGACCAGUACAAUAAAGGAUUUGGCGUGGGGCAGGUGGCAGUGUGUGAGGGACCCUUGUCAUCCGACCUGUACAGAAACCCUUCCGGAGAUGGAACCCUGAUCAUCCGCGAGACUUCUGGUGAGAGAACGCGGACUGGUCAUGCUGACAGUAAUGGCUUUGCCAGCCAAACCAAUCUGCCCGAUCUGGUGCAGCAGAGCCAGUCUCCUGCCACUACACCGACCGAGGCGGCGGGCCGGACCUCCUCUCAGCUCGCGCAGGAACAGGACUCGGCCGCUGGGUAUGGCAGAGGAACGGGCACAAAGUCAUCAUUCACCCCAUUUGUGGACCCCAGGGUAUUUCAGACUUCACCUAGUGGAAGUGAGGAAGACUCCUCAGCGGCCGUGAUCUUCUCCGCUGAGAUGCUACGGCAGGAGCAGGCGAAGCUGAACGAAGUCCGGAAAAUCUCUGUUGUCAACGUCAACCCCACCAACAUCCGGCCUCACAGUGACACGCCCGAGAUUCGCAAGUACAAGAAACGGUUUAACUCAGAGAUUCUAUGUGCCGCACUAUGGGGCGUCAACCUGCUGGUGGGCACGGAGAACGGUCUGAUGCUCCUGGAUCGCAGCGGACAGGGAAAAGUCUACAAUCUGAUUAGUCGAAGACGAUUCCACCAGAUGGAUGUACUGGAGGGGCUCAACAUCUUGGUGACUAUAUCCGGGAAGAAGAAUAAGUUACGGGUAUAUUACCUGUCCUGGCUGAAGAACAGGAUACUGCACAAUGAUCCCGAGGUGGAGAAGAAACAAGGAUGGACUACUGUCGGCGACCUGGAGGGCUGUGUCCAUUACAAAGUCGUUAAGUACGAGAGGAUUAAGUUCUUGGUGAUUGCGCUGAAGAAUGCAGUGGAGAUUUAUGCCUGGGCACCAAAGCCUUAUCACAAGUUCAUGGCUUUUAAGUCUUUUACAGAUCUGCAGCACAGACCAUUACUGGUUGACCUCACAGUGGAAGAGGGGCAAAGGUUAAAGGUCAUUUAUGGCUCUAGCACUGGUUUCCAUGUGAUUGAUGUGGAUUCCGGCUCUGUCCAUGACAUUUACAUCCCCUCACACAUUCAGGGUAACGUCACUCCUCAUGCACUCAUCAUCUUACCUAAGACAGACGGGAUGGAGAUGUUAGUGUGCUACGAGGAUGAGGGUGUUUAUGUCAACACUUACGGUCGCAUCACCAAGGAUAUCGUGCUGCAGUGGGGCGAGAUGCCCACGUCAGUUGCGUAUAUCCAUUCCAGCCAGAUCAUGGGAUGGGGAGAGAAGGCCAUCGAGAUCCGCUCGGUGGAGACGGGCCACCUGGAUGGGGUCUUCAUGCAUAAGAGAGCUCAGCGCCUGAAGUUCCUGUGUGAACGGAAUGACAAGGUCUUCUUUGCGUCUGUGCGCUCUGGUGGAAGUAGCCAGGUUUUCUUCAUGACACUCAACAGGAACUCGAUGAUGAACUGGUAACGCGGCCUGGGUGCACACUGACAUUUGAACCCGCACUGAGGCGAAGGCCCUCAACAACCCGGAGAGAAAUCCAACCGUUAAAGGCAAACUGCCUCCUGUCUUCAAGGGUAUAAUUGGACUAUUGUGACUUUACGAUGCCUAUUCCGUGUAUCGGAGGGCCCCACGGCCAUUUGUUAAUUUUUGUUUUGGUCCUGGUUAACUUUCUGUGCGUGGUGAAAGUCCCCGAGGGGAGCCCCUGGCAAGAGAGAAAGCAACAGAGGUGAGCUCCAGGAUGCAUCCAGAUGUGGUCUGCCUGCUCUCCAGACACUUUCCUGAAGACAGGAAGAACGGAGAGAAGAUGCAAAUGGAGAGAGUUGGUAGACCACCAGGCAGACUGGUCUUGGAGCGAGGGUUCAAAGGUCAGCGAUGAUCGAUGGAGGUCGAUGGUGGACGAAUGGCCUUAACAGCAAGCUCCAACGUUCGCACAUUCUCACUGUUUCAUGAGAAUGGGCCCUUUUAACAUAAGAACAUUUCUCUUUUUUUGAUUCUUUACUAACCAUAUAGUCCAAUUAAGAAUUACAAAGAUCAAUCAUUUA